rnacentral:rRNA from 1 species
CCCUUAGAUGUUCUGGGCCGCACGCGCGCUACACUGAUGCAUUCAACGAGUCUAAAACCUGCUCUGAUAGGGGUGGGUAAUCUUUUGAAUGUGCAUCGUGAUUGGGAUAGAUGAUUGAAAUUUUUCAUCUUCAACGAGGAAUGCCUAGUAAACGCAAGCCAUCAGCUUGCAUUGAUUACGUCCCUGCCCUUUGUACACACCGCCCGUCGCUCCUACCGAUUGAAUGAUCCGAUGAAUAUCAUGGAUUGAGGAUGCAAGUAGGUUCACCUAUCUUCAUCUUCGAGAAGUGAAGUAAAUCUUAUCAUUUAGAGGAAGGAGAAGUCGUAACA